UACGUAGGGUGCGAGCGUUAAUCGGAAUUACUGGGCGUAAAGCGUGCGCAGGCGGUUUGUUAAGUCUGAUGUGAAAGCCCCGGGCUCAACCUGGGAACUGCAUUGGAAACUGGCAAGCUUGAGUAUGGCAGAGGGGGGUGGAAUUCCGCGUGUAGCAGUGAAAUGCGUAGAGAUGCGGAGGAACACCGAUGGCGAAGGCAGCCCCCUGGGCCAAUACUGACGCUCAGGCACGAAAGCGUGGGGAGCAAACAGG
rnacentral:rRNA from 1 species